rnacentral:misc_RNA from 1 species
GGAAAUAACUGAAAAUCCUAUAACAUCCCAACUCACUGUAUUUACUUUCAUAGCUAACACUUCCACUCAAAACUUUCCUGCAAUGUCUUUGGCAAACUUAAUUGGUAUCACUGAGACUUUGCCUACCAUAACAAAGCUUAUCAGCAAGCAGAAAACUCCGGAAAGAACAGAGGUAAUUGGAUUGCUAGGCAAGAAGCAAGUUAACUUUGAACAAGGACAUCCACUGCAGACCACAAGAAGACUAGCAU